rnacentral:rRNA from 1 species
CAGUAGCCGCGGGAAUACGAAGGGUGCAAGCGUUAAUCGGAAUUACUGGGCGUAAAGCGUGCGUAGGCGGUUUGUUAAGUCUGCUGUGAAAUCCCCGGGCUCAACCUGGGAAUGGCAGUGGAUACUGGCAAGCUAGAGUCUUGUAGAGGGGGGUAGAAUUCCAGGUGUAGCGGUAAAAUGCGUAGAGAUCUGGAGGAAUACCAGUGGCGAAGGCGGCCCCCUGGACAAAGACUGACGCUCAGGUGCGUAAGCGUGGGGAGCAAACAGGAUUAGAUACCCGCGUAGUCCCUGUCUCUUAUAC